rnacentral:rRNA from 1 species
UGGGGAAUAUUGCACAAUGGGCGAAAGCCUGAUGCAGCAACGCCGCGUGAGUGAUGAAGGUCUUCGGAUUGUAAAGCUCUGUCUUUUGGGACGAUAAUGACGGUACCAAAGGAGGAAGCCACGGCUAACUACGUGCCAGCAGCCGCGGUAAUACGUAGGUGGCGAGCGUUGUCCGGAUUUACUGGGCGUAAAGGGUGCGUAGGCGGAUGUUUAAGUGAGAUGUGAAAUACCCGGGCUUAACUUGGGUGCUGCAUUUCAAACUGGAUAUCUAGAGUGCAGGAGAGGAGAAUGGAAUUCCUAGUGUAGCGGUGAAAUGCGUAGAGAUUAGGAAGAACACCAGUGGCGAAGGCGAUUCUCUGGACUGUAACUGACGCUGAGGCACGAAAGCGUGGGUAGCAAACAGGAUUAGAUACCCUGGUAGUCCACGCCGUAAACGAUGAGUACUAGGUGUAGGAGGUAUCGACCCCUUCUGUGCCGCAGUAAACACAUUAAGUACUCCGCCUGGGAAGUACGAUCGCAAGAUUAAAACUCUAAAGUGAUUGAC